rnacentral:rRNA from 1 species
UACGUAGGGUGCGAGCGUUGUCCGGAAUUACUGGGCGUAAAGAGCUCGUAGGUGGUUUGUCGCGUUGUUCGUGAAAACCUGAGGCUUAACCUUGGGCGUGCGGGCGAUACGGGCAGACUGGAGUACUGCAGGGGAGACUGGAAUUCCUGGUGUAGCGGUGAAAUGCGCAGAUAUCAGGAGGAACACCGAUGGCGAAGGCAGGUCUCUGGGCAUUAACUGACGCUGAGGAGCGAAAGCAUAGGGAGCGAACAGG